UUAUCGCGUGUCGUCCAGUGUACCAGGAGAUUCGCGAUGUUCUAGGAGGACCCGUCGUUUCUAUACCCGUAGUAUCGCUGAUUAUGCGCGACAUGAGCACCACCGCCAUCGUAGUGUUUUACGAGCGUCAUGUAAAAUGGAAUUAAACAAUGUUGUUAAGACGUAAACAUGUUUUGGCUACACUGUGGACUCUUUGUUCUCGUGAUUGCCGUACCUGGAUUUAUUAGCAGCGCCGACAGCACGUCCAAGCGAG